rnacentral:rRNA from 1 species
CCUACGGGCGGCUGCAGUGGGGAAUAUUGCACAAUGGGCGCAAGCCUGAUGCAGCCAUGCCACGUGUGUGAAGAAGGCCUUCGGGUUGUAAAGCACUUUCAGUGGGGAGGAAGGCGUUAAGGUUAAUAACCUUGUCGAUUGACGUUACCCGCAGAAGAAGCACCGGCUAACUCCGUGGCCAGCAGCCGCGGUAAUACGGAGGGUGCAAGCGUUAAUCGGAAUUACUGGGCGUAAAGCGCACGCAGGCGGUCCGUCAAGUCGGAUGUGAAAUCCCCGGGCUCAACCUGGGAACUGCAUUCGAGACUGGCAGGCUAGAGUCUUGUAGAGGGGGGUAGAAUUCCAGGUGUAGCGGUGAAAUGCGUAGAGAUCUGGAGGAAUACCGGUGGCGAAGGCGGCCCCCUGGACAAAGACUGACGCUCAGGUGCGAAAGCGUGGGGAGCAAACAGGAUUAGAUACCCUAGUAGUC